rnacentral:ncRNA from 1 species
UCACACUUUCGGCAAACCAUUUGAAAAAAUGGGACGCAAAGCUUCCGGUCUAAAGAUGCUGGUCAUCAAUGAUAGCGGGGUCGCCACU